ACAGAGUGUCAAAAGACUCAUUAGUUCUUAAAUGUAGUGUCUUAGGAUUUGAGAUAUUGGAGGUAUACCAAAAAAUAGAUAUGAUGUUCUUUAGUACAUUUCAAGCUUAGUAUUGUGACUUUAGUUCAUCAUUGAGUUUUCCUAUGGGUCUUUGGCAUAAAGCCUAAGAUCAUCGUGGGUUGUUUGGCAUACUAUACGCGGAAGUAUAUCCCAUGACUCAAUAGGGGCAACAGCAUGUUGCUUGGCCAUCUUAAAACAUCCAUGAUUAUGAAAACCAUCUCCACUUGCAUUUCCAACUUAGUGAAACGCGCUGGCAUGCGACUUGACCACGUCAGUCUAGAAGAUCCGUUGCGGACAAAUUAUUCUUAUACCAUGGAAUCAACGUAAUGUCGAGUCCAUGCACAGGAUUCUUGAGCACUUUUGGCAAUUGACCAAGCCAACGGCAGUUGCUCCCCAUCCAUCUAUGAAACUAUUGAUAAUUGAUGUUGGGCGCAAACUUGUCUAUUUUUAAUACUGUGUUGGUAGGGUCUUGAACUCAAUACCUAUUAAUUCGGAUAUUAUACUGAAUUCAUGCUCUAACCAACUCAUCUACAAGUCCAAACUAAUGAAGAAAUACGGGCAAUAUAUUUAACAAUAGUAUUCUUGACGAGUUGGAGGGAAGCGUCUCACUAUGUGCAUUAAGAGUGCCACACAUAAUUUGGACCGGAAUAUGACACCCGAAAGCAGAGAGCUCACUGCAAACGGCAUACCACUAUUCCAAUGGUGAGUGGAUCAAACACACAUACUGGUACUAGCUUCGUCUGGCGCCGGUAACGUUUUACCUCACCAUGGCUAACUUACUAGCCUAUUUGGACGGGAAGGAUCGCCCUGAUAGAGCAAAGAUGCACACGCAACUCAGCCAAGCUCUAAAUCAACACAUCCACGAUACGACUAAUUUUGUACUCAUAUUCGUACGGAACAACCUCUAAACCAAGUCAAAUUCCAAAUUAGUUAGUUGAACGAAUCCAUCUCAAAUAGAGGCGACACUAGACUGAAGUCGGUAGUUCAGUCCUCCGCACAUUUUCAUUGUUCGGACAUAAUUUUGUAAAAUAGAGUGGAUUUUCAGCACACGUGUGCCUAAGCACCCUCUAUGAACAGUAACACCAAAACGAAUAGAAAAAAAUAAAAAAUUCUGAAAUUUUGCAAGAUCAAAGAUGAUCAAACUUUCUAGGUGCUUGCAAGUUUUCACGCCAAAAAAACAUUUGAGGAGCUUGCUAAUUCUCAAGCUUGCGUUAGUUUUUCCCUUGAAGAGGAAAGGGUGAUGCAGCAAAGUAGAAGUAAGUAUUUCCCUCAAUUUGAGAACCAAGGUAUCAAUCCAGUAGUAGUAUCAAGACGAGGCACUACUACGGCAACAAAAGUCCUUGCCCAGCAACGCCAGGAAUUCUUCUUGCUACUUCUCUUGCUUGCAUCGGUAUUUCCCUUGAAGAGGAAAGGGUGAUGCAGCACAGGAGCAAUAAGUAUUUCCCUCAAUUUGAGAACCAAGGUAUCAAUCCAGUAGGAGAAUCUCGUCAAGUCCAGAGUACCUGCGCAAACACAAAAGAGCUUGCACCUAACGCUAUAAAGGGGUUGUCAAUCCCUUCAAGAUUGAUUGCAAAGUGAGAUCUGAAGGUGGAAAGUGCAACGAAGAAAAAGUGUAAGGCUGAAAAUAUGGUGUGGAGUAGACCCGGGGGCCAUAGUGUUCACUAGAGGCUUCUCUCAAAAUAGCAAAUAUCACGGUGGGUGAACAAAUUACUGUCGAGCAAUUGAUAGAAUCGCACAAAGUCAUGACGAUAUCUAAGGCAAUGAUCAUACAUAUAGGCAUCAUGUACGAGACAAGUAGACCGAUACUUUCUGCAUCUACUACUAUUACUCCACACAUCAACCGCUAUCCAGCAUGCAUCUAGUGUAUUGAGUUCAUGACGAACAGAGUAAUGCCUUAAGCAAGAUGACAUGAUGUGGAGGGAUAAACUCAAACCAAUGAUGAAAACCCACAUCUCUUUACCCUUGAUGCCAGCAACACGAUGCGUGCCUCGCUACCCCUUCUGUUACUGGGUGAAGUCACCGCAAGGUAUGAACCCAAAACCAAGCACUUCUCCCAUUGCAAGAAUCAUAGANNNNNNNNNNNNNNNNNNNNNNNNNNNNNNNNNNNNNNNNNNNNNNNNNNNNNNNNNNNNNNNNNNNNNNNNNNNNNNNNNNNNNNNNNNNNNNNNNNNNUUAGUAUAGGUAACUAUGAUCCAUGAUUAUAACAAUAUAUAUAUAUAAUUCAUACAAUCCAAUAAAAAAAUUAGUAUAGUUAUAACAAUAUCAAGAAAGUCUAGCUGCACAAAUUCGUGGGUCGUUCACUCGUUUGCUAUGUAACAAAACCUUAAAUGACUAAUUAAUGCAUGAUAUGAAUAUCGAUUUUUUAACACAAGAGAUAAUCUCAUAAUUCAAGAUCACUUAUUUGAUAUGACUCAACUAGAACAAUCAAGUCAUCACUUGCAAAUGUGUCCAUUUUUCAUUGUACCCUUCAGAAACGUGUGAUGAAAAAGCAUUGUUACAAAGUGUGUGCCCCAUAUUAAGGAUGACACUAUUUAAGAGCUUGCGGAGUUCUUAGAGAAAGUAAAACUUAUGACAGAGUGUCAAAAGACUCAUUAGUUCUUAAAUGUAGUGUCUUAGGAUUUGAGAUAUUGGAGGUAUACCAAAAAAUAGAUAUGAUGUUCUUUAGUACAUUUCAAGCUUAGUAUUGUGACUUUAGUUCAUCAUUGAGUUUUCCUAUGGGUCUUUGGCAUAAAGCCUAAGAUCAUCGUGGGUUGUUUGGCAUACUAUACGCGGAAGUAUAUCCCAUGACUCAAUAGGGGCAACAGCAUGUUGCUUGGCCAUCUUAAAACAUCCAUGAUUAUGAAAACCAUCUCCACUUGCAUUUCCAACUUAGUGAAACGCGCUGGCAUGCGACUUGACCACGUCAGUCUAGAAGAUCCGUUGCGGACAAAUUAUUCUUAUACCAUGGAAUCAACGUAAUGUCGAGUCCAUGCACAGGAUUCUUGAGCACUUUUGGCAAUUGACCAAGCCAACGGCAGUUGCUCCCCAUCCAUCUAUGAAACUAUUGAUAAUUGAUGUUGGGCGCAAACUUGUCUAUUUUUAAUACUGUGUUGGUAGGGUCUUGAACUCAAUACCUAUUAAUUCGGAUAUUAUACUGAAUUCAUGCUCUAACCAACUCAUCUACAAGUCCAAACUAAUGAAGAAAUACGGGCAAUAUAUUUAACAAUAGUAUUCUUGACGAGUUGGAGGGAAGCGUCUCACUAUGUGCAUUAAGAGUGCCACACAUAAUUUGGACCGGAAUAUGACACCCGAAAGCA
rnacentral:lncRNA from 1 species